CCACCUCUAAGAGUUGCGACUGUGAUCUUAUUGAAUUUACUUCAAACUGAUAUUUACACAAAAUGAACUGCAUUCUGAUAUACGGAUUUUCUCAUAUGCUUACCCUACUUACCAACUACUUACCGACUUCCAAAGAGUUCCUUUUUAGGAUUUCAUUCGCCAACAGCUCAUAGGAUCUGAGCCACUCCCAAAUCUGCGCCGAGAUACACCCGCUGAAUGAAAGCCAACGCCCGCGGCACUGGAGCUUCACAUCGAUGUCUCCUGCGGUCAAGGCGAAAGGGCGAGACCGCUGUGGGUGGCGUCAGAAAAUCUUGCUGACACUGACCUUGAUGGUGACCUGUGCUGACCGUUGACCCGAACUGAGAUGGAGACGAUUUCCUGAGGUGCGCAUUCAGUCGUCAGCACGGAGGCGCAGAGGCAGUCACGGGGCGGGAAGUCCUCUGCGAAACGAAGACCCAGUCAGGGAACGUCAAGUGAUGUCACAGGAUGUCCCGAGAAGGUCAUCACAAGUGGACGACUCUACACACUCUUCGUCGCGCCAUGACCUCGGGGACUGGCUCUGUUAGGGACAUCUGGAGAGGUUUUUUCCACUCGCCGGCCAAAGGUUGCUUGGAGGCGACUGGAAUCUGCAACGCGACGCAGGUUCCCGCCACCUCCUUGCCACUGUGGCCGCGGAGUUUUUUCCCUGUCCAGCGGAGUUU